UUGAUAUUCCCCUAUUUAUAAUAAUUUCUGGUCCGACCAAGCAUAAUAUUCCUUAUCCGAAGUGGAGUGAGCGUGUGUGUGUGAGAGAGAGAGAGAGAGAGAGAGAGAGAAGAGAGAGAGUGAGAGAGAGUGAGAGAGAGAGAGGGAGGAAUGGCAGCAGUGGCAGCAAUAAUUCCUUCAAUCUCUACCGUGAAUCUGCAUUUUCAGGCAAGUCUGAAGAAGGGUUUCGGAUUAGACUCAACAAGAAGAAGAAGAAGAUUGAAUUCUCUUGUUAGCAUCACUCGAGCCUGCCUCCUUCACUGCAAUGCUCCUCUCCUUGAAUCUGCAGCCAAGCACACUAUCUGUUGGUAGUGCUAGUGAAGCAGCGAAGGCAGGAAUUCCAUUGGAUCACUACCAAGAUACUUCUCAAGUGUGCACGAUUUCUAAGUAUCCAAUGACUAGGUUGCAUUUUAACUAGUGUUUGUGAGUAUUUACAUGCUUUAGACAGCUCUAUUUGUAUCCUAAUUUGAAAGCAGACAAAAAAAAAA